rnacentral:rRNA from 1 species
GUGGGGAAUCUUGGACAAUGGGGGAAACCCUGAUCCAGCCAUGCCGCGUGAGUGAAGAAGGCCUUAGGGUUGUAAAGCUCUUUCACCGGGGACGAUAAUGACGGUACCCGGAGAAGAAGCCCCGGCUAACUCCGUGCCAGCAGCCGCGGUAAUACGGAGGGGGCUAGCGUUGUUCGGAAUUACUGGGCGUAAAGCGCGCGUAGGCGGACCAUUAAGUCAGGGGUGAAAGCCCGGAGCUCAACUCCGGAGGUGCCUUUGAUACUGAUGGUCUUGAGACCGGAAGAGGCGAGUGGAAUUCCGAGUGUAGAGGUGAAAUUCGUAGAUAUUCGGAAGAACACCAGUGGCGAAGGCGACUCGCUGGUCCGGUUCUGACGCUGAGGUGCGACAGCGUGGGGAGCAAACAGGAUUAGAUACCCUAGUAGUCC